UUUUGUUUCUUUGUAAUUUUUUUUAUUUGUCUAUAUUAAUGCAAAAUUCUUGUUUUACUGAAGAAGAAAAUUUGUUAAGGUUUUGGACUUCAACUUUAGUUCAUUGUUUAUCCCUUCAGAACUCCUUCCCACCCCUUGCCUAAUUAUCAGAAAAGGUGGACUUGAGGUCUUCAUUUUGAAAUGGGAAAUUGAAUAUAGAUAUUAUAGUGUUUUCUUUAUUAAAUAUUAGCGUCACACUAACUGCUUUUAGAAUGUAACAGAUGGAGUUGGGCUUUCUUAGUUUAGGUUGUUGGAACUGAUAAUGUGAGUGUUAAGGGUGUAGGGAAUAUGGCUUCCUUUCAGUGAGAUUUCUUUAUUCUUUAUUCUUUUUUUUGCCCCUCACCCAAGCCUCUUAGUGACAGUUUUUAUUUAUUUAGUGAUUUUCAGAUACAUGCUCUGCAGUGGCUGAGUUAGACUAUUAAGUAUUUAUUUAUAUUUGUGGGUUGGGGGCUUUAGCAUUAUAAAAUUGAUAAGUUACUUGUGUUUAUAUGUAAUAUUUUCUAUAAUGUGCUAAUCGCUCAAGGUCA
rnacentral:misc_RNA from 1 species